UCGGUUAAUGGGAGCCACACGACCCUCUGUGUGUGGACUCCCAUUCGGUACUUUUAUUUGUUUCACGAACAGUGUGUAAAGUCACUGUUCGUGAAACUACCAUAUGAAUGCUAGAGGCUUUCGGCCGUUAGCAUACGAAUACUCUCUAUUGCAAAAAUACACAAAUACCUCCAUACACACAAUAAAAGCAGCUUUUACAGACAACCUUCAGAUGUUACACAGUAGUACCUAAAGUGGCUAGGUUUGCCACAGGUCUGUAAAUGUUACUACUAGACAGCUGGUAGUACCCCAGAAAUAUCGACAGGAACUCCUUAGGAUCGCUCAUGACAUUCCGUUGUCUGGGCAUCUGGGUAUGACCCGAACUAGAUACCGACUUACCCAUGCAUUUUUCUGUGAGGCAAUACUGCCAGACGUGUGACAUCUGUCAGAGAGUAGGCAAAAGGUGUGACCGACACAAGGCCAAAUUAUGCCCGCUACCCAUCAUAGAAGAGCCGUUUAGUAGGGUGGCCGUAGACAUAGUAGGACCCUUACCCAAACCCAGUCCCUCUGGCAAAAUACCCCGAGGCAGUAGCCCUCUCUAAUAUCCACGCCGAGACGGUGGUCGAAGCCUUAAUGAAAGCCUUCUCCCGGGUGGGGUUCCCCCAGGAGAUAAUCUCAGAUAGGUGUACGCAAAUCACGGCCGAAGUAACCCACCAACUAUGGAAAAUAUGUGGCAUUAAGCCUAUUGUUAAUUCUGCUUACCAUCCACAGUGUAAUGGGUUAUGUGAAAGGUUCAAUGGAACUUUAAAGCAGAUGCUCCGUACAUUUGGAGAGGCCCAUAAGGACUGGGAGUGAUUCUUACCCCAUCUGCUGUUCGCCUACAGAGAGGUACCUCAAGAGUCCACCGGGUUUUCCCCCUUUGAAUUACUGUUUGGGAGAAGGGUGAGAGGACUCCUAGAGUUAAUUAGAGAACAUUGGGAAGGGGAAAGCAGUGCAGAUACCCAUUGUACCAUUUGUGCUGGAGUUCAGGGACCGCCUGGAGGCACUAACCCACACCGUACGGGUAAACCACCAAGCGGCUCAACAACGGCUGCGCCGAUGGUAUGAUAGGGGAGCCAGGGAUUGCAGCUUUCAAGUGGGACAAAAAGUUUUGAUUUUAAAACCUGUCCGCAAUGACAAGCUGCAGGCCGCCAGGCAAGGCCCCUACAGGGUGGUGGAACAGAGAUGUGACACCACCUAUGUAAUUGGCCCCUGCUCGGGUAGGGAAGAGACGUAUGCUCCACGUGAAUAUGCUCAAACCCUACCAUGAGAGUGGAUGUGGCAGCUAUAUGUGCAUCAGCCUCUGAGGAUCAGGAGAAUCUUCCGCUACCCGAUUUAUUAGAGCGAGAAGAUAAGGCAGAGACCUCUACAGGUGUUCAGCUGGGGGAGCGGCUAAGUCUUCAUGAGCGUGCCCAGGUACAGGAGUUAAUUGCGACUAAGGGAGCCACUUUCUCCAAUUUACCAGGGUACACCCUCACCGGGUAGAGACCCCAUUAGAGCUACCUAUGCGGCAGACCCCAUAUCGUAUCCUGGAAGCAGUCAGGGAACAUAUGAGAAAGGAAAUUGAGGAGAUGUUGCAGCUAGGGGUUAUUGAACAUUCCGAUAGCCACUGGGCAUCGCCGGUAGUGCUAGUUCCCAAGAAUGAUGGCACAAAACAGUUCUGUGUUGACUACCAGAGGCUAAAUGACAAGAGAGUGUCUGAUGCCUACCCGAUUCACCGGAUAGACGAGCUGCUAGAUAAGAUGGCACGAGGCCAGUACUUCACUAUGAUAGACUUAUGCAAAGGGUACUGGCAGAUUCCUUUAGCCGAGGUUGCCAUUCAGGAUGAAAAAUGCUCCGGCUACUUUUCAAAGGAUGGUAGAUCGGCUACUGGAUGGGUUCCAGGAGUAUGCAUGUGCAUACCUGGACGAUAUCGCCAUAUAUUGCCAGACGUGGUCAGACCACCUGCGACAUAUUGUAGCUGUCAUUGACCGUAUUGGAGAG
rnacentral:lncRNA from 1 species